rnacentral:rRNA from 1 species
CGUCUGGUAAUUGGAAUGAGUACAAUUUAAAUCCCUUAACGAGGAUCAAUUGGAGGGCAAGUCUGGUGCCAGCAGCCGCGGUAAUUCCAGCUCCAAUAGCGUAUAUUAAAGUUGUUGCAGUUAAAAAGCUCGUAGUUGGAUUUCUGGUAUGGUGCGCCUGGCCCACGGUUGCAAAACCGCGAGUGUCGGUGUGCGCCUGCCAUCUUUCUAGUUAACUGGACGCACUUAACUGGGCGGUCAGCGAUCUAGAUCUUUUACUUUGAAAAAAUUAGAGUGUUUAAAGCAGGCUUGCGCUAUGAAUACAUUAGCAUGGAAUAAUAAUUUAGGACUUUAUUCCUAUUUAUUGGUUUCUGGAGUAGAGUAAUGAUUGAUAGGGAUAGUUGGGGGUGCUAGUAUUCAUCGGCCAGAGGUGAAAUUCUUGGAUUCGAUGAAGACUAACUAAUGCGAAAGCAUUCACCAAGGAUGUCUUCUUUAAUCAAGAACGAAAGUUGGGGGAUCGAAGACGAUCAGAUACCGUCGUAGUCUCAACCAUAAACUAUACCGACUAGGGAUUAGUGGAAGUUGCUUUUUCGACUCCAUUAGCACCUGAUGAGAAAUCGAAGUCUUUGGGUUCUGGGGGGAGUAUGGUCGCAAGGCUGAAACUUAAAGGAAUUGACGGAAGGGCACCACCAGGAGUGGAGCCUGCGGCUUAAUUUGACCCAACACGGGGAAACUUACCAGGUCCGGACAUAGUGAGGAUUGACAGAUUGAAGUUCUUUCUUGAUUCUAUGGGUGGUGGUGCAUGGCCGUUCUUAGUUGGUGGAGCGAUCUGUCUGGUUAAUUCUGUUAACGAACGAGACCUCGACCUGCUAAAUAGUACAACGUAACCCUUGGUUAUGUGUGCACUUCUUAGAGGGACUGUCGGUUUCUAGCCGAAGGAAGUUCGAGGCAAUAACAGGUCUGUGAUGCCCUUAGAUGUUCUGGGCCGCGCGCUACACUGAUACGUUCAUCGAGCUUACAACCUUGGUCGGGAGGCCUGGGUAAUCUUUUCAAAGCGUAUCGUGCUGGGGAUAGAUUAUUGUAAUUAUUAAUCUUCAACGAGGAAUUCCUAGUAAGCGCGAGUCAUCAACUCGCACUGAUUACGUCCCUGCCCUUUGUACACACCGCCCGUCGCUGCUACCGAUUGAAUGCAUUAGUGAGUCUUGGGGAUCGCUUCUCUUGAGGGUAAAACUUCGGGUUAGAUGAGAACCAAUACAAACUUGCGCAUUUAGAGGAAGCAAAAGUCGUA